UACGGAGGGUGCAAACGUUGCUCGGAAUCAUUGGGCGUAAAGCGCACGUAGGCGGCCUGAUAAGUCGGGUGUGAAAGCCCUGGGCUCAACCCAGGAAGUGCACUCGAAACUGUCAGGCUUGAAUAUGGAAGAGGGUCGCGGAAUUCCCGGUGUAGAGGUGAAAUUCGUAGAUAUCGGGAGGAACACCAGUGGCGAAGGCGGCGACCUGGCCAAUAUUGACGCUGAGGUGCGAAAGCGUGGGGAGCAAACAGG
rnacentral:rRNA from 1 species